GGUGCUGGGGGGGGGGGACCCAGAGAAGAGACACACCCUCCACCACAUGCAAGUGGCCACAGAGGGAUGAUUUCUGGGAUCCAGCUCAGGUUUUGCACACCUGAUAUUGUACACCUGUGUCUUCUUCCAGGUGUCUAAACUCCUAAAGAUUUUCCUCUUCAAAGAUGGAAAACCAAUACAGUGCUAACAUUUUCAAGAAGCCACAAAUGGAUACAAAAUGAAGGAAAGGCUGAACAAACUCAGAAACUGACUUCAUCAGAUGUGCUGUCUGCCUGGGAGAGCAGAUGGACAGGAGAAGGAGUGAGGUUCAGCGUGGGCCCAGACGUUCUCAUGCAGAAAAGCUUUCACUGCUCUGCUUGGGAAAGCUUGCCUGCCUAUGCUGAGAACAUGGUGUCACGGUUGUUUUCCAAGGAGCAUUGGAAACCCUGCAAUUAAACAACUAGCCUUUGGCUAUAUAUGCUAUGGACUUCCACGGAAAACACAGUAAACAUAUAGUAAUAAAAUUCAUAAACAGUC